ACCAAUUAAUACUGUAGCAACGGAGAGAAUGAUUGACAGGUCUUGAGACAUAGAAUCUUGCCUGAGCUGGCUGAAUCAAGAGUUCCAAGGAACAGUUUUGCCAACUGGCACUCUGGAGCUGAAAGGUGAAGGAUGAAGAUGACACAUCCUGGAAAUCCAUCCAUCAAGCAACGGGCCUUUGAGGAUCUACUGGCUAUGGUUAGAGGAAAUCCCCAGUCUUCUGGUGGACAAUUACUGGAGAGCAGACCUCUACUUUGCUGAGACCAUCUGUGAACACCAUACUUGGGAUUCCUGUAAUCUGAUCAACCACUGACUUUGUGUGUAAGAUGGAGCAAUGUGGGCCAGACAACUGUACAAAGUCAUCCAAGUUUGGUGGUAAGACAAAAGUCAAGAUGACUGGUGAUGGCAGGGGGAUGCCUUUGGCUCCUCUGAUGUCUGACCAAGCUCCAAGCAUUUCACAGCUCCUGUGUCCACCACCUUCAUGGCUGUUGGAACAAACUGUUCUCAUCCCCUCUCCUCCUUCCACCCAGGGAAGUUUUAACAUGCCUGGAGUAGACAUCUUCUUAACUCACCAAAGAGUUUUCCUCAAACCAUAAUGCUUUUCUUUGGACUGCAUUAACCAAACUUUGCAAAAGAACACUAUAAUCUACAGAAGACUCAUAUUUUCAAUAGUUAGCUUUAAAAAGUAAAAUCAAGUUACUAUGUGAAUAUGUAUAUCUGUUAGAUGAGAAUAGUAUUUUUUCAUGAGUCAUUUUCUACAACUAGCAUGAUUAUUAACCACUACUAUUUGAAGUGUCCUUUGCACUUUAAAACUGCUUUUAUCAAUUAUAUCAAAGGAUUCUCCUAAUAAUCCUAUGAGGUAAGUUUUUUCAGUCCAACUUCCACAUGGCAGUCAGUGAUAUUCCUAAAGCACAAAUAUGACCAAGUCAUUUCUUGUUCAAUAAACUUCCAAGUGGCUCUAAUUUA